rnacentral:rRNA from 1 species
AUUGAACGCUGGCGGCAGGCCUAACACAUGCAAGUCGAGCGAGCGGCGGACGGGUGAGUAAUGUACGGGGACUGCCCGCUAGUGGGGGAUAACUACUGUAAACGGUGGCUAAUACCGCCUACUAUCGGAUAACCCAUAUGGGAUUAGUUAGUAUGUGGGGUAAAGGCUCACCUAGGCGACGAUCUCUAGCUGGGCUGAGAGGAUGAUCAGCCCCACUGGGAUGGAGACACGGCCCAGACUCCCAGGGAGGCAGCAGAGGGGAAUAUUGCACAAGGGGCGCAAGCCUGAUGCAGCCCUGCCGCGUGUAUGAAAAAAGGCUUAGGGUUGUAAAGGAAUUUCAGCGGGGAGGCGUUACCCGAAGAAGAAGCAACGGCUAACUCCGUGCCAGCAGCCGCGGUAAUUC